rnacentral:rRNA from 1 species
UACGGAGGGUGCAAGCGUUAUCCGGAUUUAUUGGGUUUAAAGGGUCCGUAGGCGGACUCAUAAGUCAGUGGUGAAAUCCUGCAGCUCAACUGUAGAACUGCCAUUGAUACUGUGAGUCUUGAAUUUGGUUGAAGUGGGCGGAAUAUGACAUGUAGCGGUGAAAUGCUUAGAUAUGUCAUAGAACACCGAUUGCGAAGGCAGCUAACUAAGCCUGGAUUGACGCUGAGGGACGAAAGCGUGGGUAGCGAACAGG